AUUGAACGCUGGCGGCAUGCUUUACACAUGCAAGUCGAACGGCAGCGCGGGCUUCGGCCUGGCGGCGAGUGGCGAACGGGUGAGUAAUACAUCGGAACGUGCCCAGUAGUGGGGGAUAGCUCGGCGAAAGCCGGAUUAAUACCGCAUACGAACUGAGGGUGAAAGCGGGGGAUCUUCGGACCUCGCGCUACUGGAGCGGCCGAUGGCAGAUUAGCUAGUUGGUGGGGUAAAGGCAUACGAAGGUGACGAUCUGUAGCUGGUAUGAGAGGACGACCAGCCACACUGGGACUGAGACACGGCCCAGACUCCUACGGGAGGCAGCAGUGGGGAAUUUUGGACAAUGGGCGAAAGCCUGAUCCAGCAAUGCCGCGUGUGUGAUGAAGGCCUUCGGGUUGUAAAGCACUUUUGGCGGGAACGAAAAGGACUGUGCCAAUACCACGAUUCGAUGACGGUACCCGCAGAAUAAGCACCGGCUAACUACGUG
rnacentral:rRNA from 1 species